rnacentral:lncRNA from 1 species
CGGAGGGCGCGGGCGCGGCGGGUGCGGCUCCUCGGGGCCCCGCGGGGGCCCGCGGCGCGGCCGGGGCCGGGCCCGCAGCCGCGGCAGGCCCGGGCGAGCGAUCAGGCGGCGCGGCCCCCGCUGCAGGAGGCUGCCCCAGGGGCGGGGGGCCCGGCGGCCGCGGCCCCGGCGGCGGACGAGGACGACGGCGACGAGGAGGACGAGGCCGAGGCGCGGCUCCGGCGCGGCGGCCCGAGGCCCGGGGGGUGGCGCCGCCGGGGCCGCCGCCGCCGUGGUGGAGGAGGGGGGGGCCGGGGCUGCCGCCGCUCGGGGCCCCGCGGCGGGAGCGCCGGCCUAGGCCGGAGCCGGGGCCGGGGGCGCGGAGCGGGGCUCGGGGCCGCGGCCGCCGCCGUCUCGCAUCGCCGCCGGGGCCGCCUCGCCUCGCCGCGCCCCGCCUCGCCUCGCCUCGCCGCGCCGCGCCUCGCUUCGCCUCGCCUCGCCCCGCCUCGUUCCGCCUCGUCCCGCCUCGCGUCGCCUCGCCGGCCGGGCCGGGCCUCGCAGGCGGCUUGCAGCGGCGGGCGCGGAGCUCACUCGGCUACCAUCAUGGCCGCGGCGGCCGCAGCUUCCGACGGGAGACACCAGGCAGCUCGCGCCCGGGAGGGAGCCGCGGCCGGCCCGCACACCUGCGCCUGCGCCUUGAGCCGCCCUGCGCCGGGACCCGGACCCCCCGCCCCCCGGAGGCGGAGGCCCGUCCCCUGGACCCGCCCCCUCGCCCGCGCGCCUGCGCCCGGCGCCGCUCGGCUACGCGCCACACCCCCCGCACCUCCGACUCAGCCCCCGGGGCCCCGCCCCGGCCUCUGCUCCCGCGCCCACGCGCCUGCGCCCCGCGUGGAACUCCGCCCCCGCGUCCCGAUACCGCCCCCGGGGUGGGCUCCCCAGGCCGAGGCUCCGCCCUCAACCGCCUGCGCCCUGCUCCGACCCGAGCCAGCGGGAGAACUGGGGCUCAGGAAGGACCUGCCCAGCAAUCGCACCCCCGCCACCCCCAACGCGGGCCAGGCUGGGAUAUGGUGUCAGUCUUCUGGAGAACAGCCUCCCAUUGUGUCUUCAGUCUGCGCCCCCUCCCAUAUAAGUCCCCGGGCUCGCGUCCAGUCUCCGUCUCCUUAGGCUGCUGGGAAAACCCGAUCCAGAUUAAGGUGAGGAUACGCGCCAGUGCUAGGAGCCGGCUGUCUACAGUGCGCAUGCUCUGCAGGAGGGCGGGCCUGUCCGGGUGGGCUGACUCGGGCCCUCCGAGGGGGCGGGGGCAGGUGGAGGAAUACGCUAGUCUAGCCGAACUACUUUCGGAGCAGUGUCACGUGGGGGGGCGGAUGUCUGCCCCUGCUUGA